CCCAGGCACAAAGAAAGUGGAACUGUUGGCUGAAACAUCAAUGCAGGCCAUAGAGCCCAUCCAGGUACCUCCCAGGAGGAAAUGACCAUGGAAACAAAAGGGGUAAGUGUGGCUUUGCCCCCAGAUAUUCAAUUUAUUUAGGGAAUAAAAAGUAUGGAAAUGCUUUUUAUUAUGCUGGAAAAGUAUGAAAUCCCUGAAAAUGAAUCCAGCUGGGCAUGGAGAAUAUAGAAGCCAUGGAGAGACAGUUGAUAGAGGACUUUAGGAAAACCAGUGUCCAGAAAAGGACAAAUGUAUUUGUGCCAUGGGUGUGACAGCAAAACUCACAGAGUGAGAGCAGGGGAUACAGUCAAAGCUGCCAGCCCCAUCAGGGCCUCACCUUGUCACUGAUAAAGACACUCCCAGGGCAAUUUAUCCCUGGAUAAAUUUAUCCCAAAAUAUCAAAUCCCCAGAUUUGAUACCAGCCCUUUUAGCAGUUUGAAUAACUAAGGAAUGAAUCCACAAGGGAGGAGGAGAAAAACCCAUCCAAGGUCUGCAGAACAGAGAGUGGAAAAUAAAGCAUCCAACAAAGAUUUCUGCUCUGGCCCUGUAUUUUGAUUUGCAGAGGCUGAAGGGACAUGUUUGCCAAAAAAAAUUGGGCAACAAGGUUUGCACAUCUUUGCCAGUGUUGGGAUUUGGACAAUUCCCAGCUCUCCCUCAGACUGGACCCUUCUCCAGGUGCACAGGACCUUGCUCAUGCAAAGAUUCUCACCAGCACUCAGCAAAAAAGAGUCAGGAAUCCACUAAGGGCAGCCCUGGCACAACUUUGGAAGAGCCAGGACCAGUGAAUAUCUGGCUGUGGCUGAAGAUGAGAACCAGGAAUGGGACAUUCAUGUGCCUGCCCACUGGUUUUUGCUGUUUUCUUGGUUCCUGUCAGCAGCUUCUGGCACGUGCCAUGCUGGAGGGGGAAAAGAAAAAGGAAAACUAAAGUGGAGUUUCUCGUUUAGCCGGUCUCCAAGCAAGGCAGGGGACUCAGAACCGGGCAGCUGAUGGGAUGUGAGGUUUGGGAUCCCCAGUGAAACACUUCAUUUUCCCCUCUCCAAUGUUAUCACUGCCUCCUCUCACUGCCCAGGGGCUUUUAUUGACCUUGCUGCCCCAAAGGUGGCUGCUGCCUCCUGCAGAGCUGCAGGAUAAGGCCAUCCACAAAUUCAGUGAAGAAGGCUGCAAGAAUCUGCUGGUGGAAAAAUGUAUUUCCCUCCUCUAUUUCUUGGAGCCUGGAUUUUGAUUUUGAUUUUAUUAAAAAAGCUUUUCCUUCACCUCCAAGGCCAAAAGGCAUUUUCCUGCUCAAAACCAAAGAAAGCCCCUUUCCAAGCAGGCUGUUGUCCUGUUUGCUAUUCCCAGCAAACCUGGAGGAUAAUCCCAGUGACAAACACUGGCAGGACACUUCUGUUCCUGCUUAAACUGAGCUAGAAAUGUUCAAUAUCUUGAACUCUUCUCGAAACCUCUCAAAAGAUGCCACUUCUAAGGAGAUCCGAAGGAUGUACUGGAGCAGAUAUGGGCUGUGGAAUUUACUUGUUACACAAAGAGGUCUCUGCAUGGAGAGCACAAGUGUUUUUACUCCAAGAUUCUUGGCAAAAUUUAAUCUGAUUUAUUAAGUCACUGUGCAUUCCAGGUAUGUAACCUGUGGAAUUUCUCAAGAGAAGGCUGCUGCUGUUGUUAAACCUGUCGUGUUGAUAAAUCCUGCGGAGCUGCAGUUUUUAACCUCUCCGGUUUGGGGUUUUUAAAAUGCACAUUUUCCGUCUUCUUCCCAACCCCAAUGGACAUUUACACCCUCCCUUUACCCCCACAUCCAAGGGGAUAAACACAACGGGUUCCCUGGGAGAUGCCACCAAAGGACACAGAGCACCAGGAAGGAUCUCAGACCCUUCUCAGCUCUUCUGAGCCAUUCCUUGGUGUUGAGAGGUCUGUGCCUGCCAUUUCACAGGCAGCAAAGCACAACCACUGCAGAGACCAGCAGGGCAAACAGGAUUUAUGGUGAAGGGAACUCCUAAGCAAAAUAAUCCGAAGGAGUAGCUGUCUGGAGAGCACUUGGCGAAGGUGACCCCUUAAGUUUUAAGUUUUUCUGGUCUGCUUUGGUGUGCAGCUUUAUAUUAAGGGUUAUUAGGAUCUUUUCACAGGGUGAUAAAGACAAAACAAUCUUAUUCCAGCUGGGGACUUGAGGACAAUCUCUUCAAACUUCAGUUCCAAAGCUUAAACAACAUAAAAAAGAGGAGGGCAGGCAAGCGAGCAAGGAGGAUGAAACUUCAUGAUUUGAGGCUAUUAAUUGGACAUUUGACUUCUGUAUGCAAAUGGCCCAAAACCUAUAAAAAUGUGGAUGACCUCAUGACCAAGCCCACUUUUGCUUCCAUCUUGGAGCCAUCUAGGCAGAGCCACCACUGUGGCCCUGGUGCUGCCAGGGCGUGGCCUUUGAAGGCCUCUCGAUAAAUAUUCACUUUAUUCCUCCUAACUCUGUCCAGCCUCUGCUCCAGCUUCUCAAGGCAUGCACAGCCUGAGCAGAACUUGCCUUCCUACCACCAGGUGAAGUCAUCCAUCAGCCUUUGAGUGCUUUCAAAAAUUCCACUCAGUGCAGCAAACCCCAUAAAUCCUGAUUGAGCUGCCAGGCCAAGCACUUUGAAUGCUUCCAAUUCCUGCUGCCUCUCCAAGAGCUUCUCCAGCCGAGCUGUUGCCUGUGGCUGGGCAUUCCCAGCACAGGGACACGGCAGGACUCCUAAUUCAGGCAGAGAUGUCCCCCUGCACCACCCCAGCCUCACACCUGGGAGCACUUUUGUGCAUUUAUUCCCCAAAAUUAGGGGUUUGAGGAGGACAAACCCCCAACACUGAGCAAGGUGCUACUCUCAGGCCCCUCAGUGGUGCCUGGCAGAGGAGCCACUGUGGAGCUGCAGUAGCUCUCAUCAGCUGGCAGACCUUCCACCUCCAACAGCUUCACCAGUCCUCAGCAGACAGGAUGGGAAAGGAUCUCAGGGAUGAUCCAUCUUCUCCAAAUGCAGCUCCAGCUGGCCUGGACCACCUCAUUCCCUUCACCUCUUCUAAAAACUUCUGGUUGUGGAGACUUCCAUACAACUCCAGGCUUGCUUUUGGUGGAGAUUUCUUUUCUCUCCACAUCCAAGCCAGGCUGAUUUGGGGAUAUUUGAGAGCAUUUUGCAGCCUCACCCCUCCCUCAGUUCAUUAAUCAGUUCAAAUGAGAACUGAUUAAUGGGCUAGAGGAGCUCAGACUGGCUCAUGCCUUGGAUUUCCAGUUGAUCUGAGAAGCUGCUGAGCACCCACAGGUGAUCCUGGAUUCCUGGGGAUGCUCAGCACCACUGAAAAUGAACCCUGCUUCUGCCUCCUGAUUGUAACCUGGAAGAGGAAUUCUACAAAAUGAAAGAUUUAUGAGAAAAUAUCACCCCAGCAGGAUGCACAGCGUGAGAGCAGGCCUGGAAUGGGGAUAGGAAAAGUCAUCCCAGGACAGAGGGAGGAGAAUAAAGGUACAGGAAGAGUUAAUAAUUCA
ensembl:lncRNA